AUGCGGUUAGGCUCAGAAAAACAAGCAGUCUGCUGACACGUGGUAGCCUGAUCCAAUCACAGUGCUUCCCCAUAGGAUUGGCUGAGACUGAAAGGCAGAGCCAGCCCAAUUCAAACACAGCUCUGGCCAAUCAGCAUCUCCUCAGAGAUGGAUUGAAUCUCUAGGAGGAAAGUUCAGUGUCUGCAUGCAGAGGGAGGAGAUACUGAAUCACAGUGCUCUGUUGACAGAUCUGAGUGGAUGGAAGCAUAUUAUGCCUCCAUCAACUCCGAAGUGCCUCUGGUUCACUCUGAGUGACUGCAACAGGAGGUGUUCAUAGCUUUCAAUGUAAACACUAUUUUCUCAGAAAAUACAGUUUUUACAUGAGAAAGGCUGCAGGGAGCUAUAGUUCUCACUCGAACAACCUCAUUAAGCUGAAGUUGUUCAGGUGACUAUAGUGUUCCUUUAAGACAGCAGCAGCACUGCCAAUGUAAUUAAUCUGAAACAGAAUACACGUGCAUCACAGACAGUGGAUAGGAAGAAAUGCUAAAAUUAGGAGUGUAACGCUCUGUUGUAGGAAGCAGUACUCCCAACAUCAUAGGAAAGGUGAAACUCCC